rnacentral:lncRNA from 1 species
ACUGUCUCAUGCCGUCGAGCACGCCACUCCCUCUCCAAUCAAGGGUGCCACCGACCGUCAUCCUCCCUCCUCGAUCGUCGUCCUCCCUCCAUGCCACCACGUCGGCUGAAUUGAGGCCCAUCUCUCUCUCGCUCUCUCAUGCCGUCGAGCAUGCCACCAAUCAUCGUCCUCCCUCCCCGAUCGAGCAUGCCAUCGGUUGUC